UACGUAGGGUCCGAGCGUUGUCCGGAAUUACUGGGCGUAAAGAGCUCGUAGGUGGUUUGUCGCGUUGUUCGUGAAAACUCACAGCUCAACUGUGGGCGUGCGGGCGAUACGGGCAGACUAGAGUACUGCAGGGGAGACUGGAAUUCCUGGUGUAGCGGUGGAAUGCGCAGAUAUCAGGAGGAACACCGGUGGCGAAGGCGGGUCUCUGGGCAGUUACUGACGCUGAGGAGCGAAAGCAUGGGGAGCGAACAGG
rnacentral:rRNA from 1 species